AAAAAACAAAAAACUGAAAACACUCUCACUUUUCUCUCCCUACCCUGCCCUGCCCUGCCCUGCCUCACACUAACACUGAACAGAAACUCCAUCCUCCAUCUGCUUCUAUCCCUCUUCAAACCCAAAAAUCCAGAAACCCCAACACCUUCCUCGUGUUGAUCUCAAUCUGAAAAACCCAAAUCCCGUCAAAAACGGACCUCUUAUUUUCCCAUAUAUUCCCGGAAUCCCAAGAAUAUGGUGAAACCUAACCCUAACCUCUUCUUGUCACAACUGGACGACGCAGAUCCAAGGGCGUGGGAUACCCAUCAUCAUCGGCUUCUUUACAUGUGCUUCAGUGGCACUGCACUUUCCAAGCUCCUUCCUUUCCAUCUCCCCUCGUCCUCUCUCUCUCUCUCUCUCUGAAUUGUGAUGGAGCAGCAGCACCGCCAGCAUUCUCAGUUUAAACCUUCUCGUCGAAGGACAACUGACUGUGCCUUUUUUGUUUUUUAUUUUUCUUUGCUCGUCCACAGGGACUUGCCUAACCACAGAGGACUGCCUCUUUAAUAAAAAUAGGAACCCACAUUUGACUAAGGAGCAAAUAGAGGCUGAGCUUAAGUCCUAUCUUGGAGUCAAGAAAGUUAUUUGGUUGCCUCGCUGAUUGUUUGAACCAAUACAGCUGGUGGGCACACCGUGAGGGAUUUAUAUGCUGGUGUAGUUAGCUUACAGAGGAGCACGUAAGUGAAGAAAUUUUUUUAAAUCGUCCUACUGCUGGCACACUCUUCAUGGAGGGACAGAUGCAAGCAAGGGAUCAAGAUAACAGUGGGGAAAUGCAUGACUUCAAUUUAACUACUAUAUUGACUGCUAUGAACCGCUUCUCUGAUGCCAAUAAGCUUGGAGAGGGAGGUUCUGGGCCUGUUUACAAGGUUAAGCUGCAUAAUGGGAAGAGAGCAGUUAAAAGGCUUUCGAGGAAAUCAGGGCAAGGUCUUGAAGGGUUCAAGAAUGAAGUUAUGUUAAUUGUUAAACUUCAACACAAGAAUCUUGUGAGGCUGCUGGGUUGCUGCAUAGGGAGAGAGGAAAAGCUCCUUGUCUAUGAGUACAUGGCCAACACUAGUCUUGAUGCCUUUCUAUUUGCAGGCAACUAGACUGGGCCAAGCUUGCUGCCAUUGUUGGGGGAAUAACAAGAGAGAUUCUGUAUCUGCAUGACGACUCUCGGCUCAAAAUCAUCCAUAGGGAUUUGAAAGCAAGCAACAUUUUGUUGGAUGAAGAGAUGAACCCAAGGAUCUGAGACUUUGGAACUGCUAGGAUUUUUGGUAGUAAUCAGCUUGAUGCUAACACAAACAAAGUUGGUGGUACAUUGUAAGUCAUCUCCUUCUCUUGCCGUGCUGUGUUUAACUGUUAAGCCCAAAAGAAAAAAGGAAAAACUGCACAUACAUAUUCUCUUGUCUAGCAUGAGACACGCGCAAUCUUAAGUCCAAGAAAGUACUACUAUUCAUAUCAAUCAAACAUCUCUUUCUACUAGUUUUAUGUGAAAAUAGCCAUUUUAUAGAAAAAUAUAUAUAUAAAGUUUAGUCCCUUUGUAAGACUUAUGGUCAAACUAGUCUCUUUAUUACCAAGUCAUGUCAUAAUUUUUUUUCUUUUCAAAAUUUAAGUUAAAAUCUCCAUUGUUAACCAACGCUUCAUUUUUUAAUUGAAACUAUAAUUAAUAAUUGAGAUUUUAUUUUUGAACUAAAACCUUAAUUACUAAUUGAACUUCAUUAAUUUUUUUUUUACUUUAAAAUUUAAUUAAAAAAAUAUUAAAUUAUGUUGGAAUUAAAAAUAUAUAAUUUAAUAAUAAUAAAUUUAUAUAUUUAAAUUUAAUGAUCUAAUAUUAUUUUAAUAAAGAUAAAUUGAUAAAUAUAAUAAUAAAUGAAUAUUUUAUUUAUUAAUAAAUUAAUAAUCUUAAAAUAAUAAAAUUAUAUGAUGCAUAUAUAAGAUAUAAAAUUAUAUAAUUUAUUAAUUUAAGAUAUUUAAUUUAUUUUAUUUUUAAGAUAUAAAAGUAUAUCACAUGUAAUACUUGCUACCGCUAGAAAGGGGUUUUUGGUUUUUUUUUUUUUUCAUUAUCUAAAUGUUUAGUGGAUAUUUUUUUGUAACUUUGAUGAAACUAUUGAAAAAUAUAUAAUUGGUUUUUUUUUCUUUUCUUCCUCCAUUCCUCUUCUUCUUCCCACAGCCGGCCCCCAUUUUUUUUCUUCCCUUUCUCUAUUUUUUUUUCUUUUUUUAGUUUUUCUCCUCCUGUUUUCCCAAGAGAGUCGACCCCCAUUUUUAUUUAUUUUUUAUUUUUUCCUUUUUCUUCUUCCCUUAAAAGCACCCAACAACCAGCUCCCCCAUUCCUCUUCCAUUUUUAUUUUUUAUUUUAUUAUUUUUAUUUCAGUUUAUUUUAUUUUAUUUUAUUUGUGAUUCCUAAAAAAAAAUCAUCCACUACUACCGGCAAGACCGUCGGGCGAGCCACCGUCGGCUGGCGACCCCUUUCCCAUCUCAUCCGUUCCCGUUAUUAUUAUUAUUAUUAUUAUUAUUAUUGUUGUUGUUGUUGUUAUUGUUAUUAUUAUUAUUGUUAUUGUUAUUGUUAUUGUUGUUAUUUUAAUUUAUUUUAGUAGUAAUUGUUAUUUAUGAAAUUUGAAUUGUUGAAUUAAUAUGAAAUUUGGGGUUAAUUUGUUGUUGGUAGAUUAAUACAUAAUUUGAUUUAAUUUAUUGUUAGUUAAUUAAUUUGAAAUUUGUUAAUUUGGGUUUGUGGGCAUAUUGUAUUGGGUGAUUAAUUUGAGGAUAUUUAGAUUAUAUCAAUUGCAUAUUGUUUAUUUGAACUUGGGUCUAUUGUUAAAUUGUUAUUUGUUUGGGCUUAUUGAAUUGGGCUUGAAAUAUUGUUUCUCUUGACCAUGUGUUUUUUUUUUAUGUGGGCUUGUUAAUUGAUGUGAAUUUUGGGGCACAUAAUGUGGAUGAGAUUUGUUGGAUUAUUUGAAUAUUUGAUAUAGGCUUGGCCAAUUUAAAUUGUUUAAUUUGGACAUAGGACAAUUGUGGUGUAUAUUAAACUAGGCUUAGAUUAUAAAAUAUUAAGUUUAGGUCUAGUAGAAUUUAUUUUAAUUUAUCCAAUUUUAGGUUUGGUUGAUUGUAUUUGUAUUUUUGGUUAUUAAUUUGGAUGUUCUGGGUUAAGACCUGUAGUAAUUUUGGCUCAUUUUAAAUUGACAAAAUUUAUGGGACUAAUUUGAAAUUGGGAUUUGGGUUUGAAUAUUUGUUUGAGAUUUUAUACAUCUCUGGAUAUUUAUAUUUGCGUUGUUUUUGUUUUUGCAUGGACUCAUUCUGCAAUCUUGUUGGCUGAGUACGAAUUGAUGACAUGUGGAGUUUGUUGUAAGUUUAUUUGGGUACAUAUUUUAUUUACCACUUUUAUGUGGUUUUAUUUUAAUUAAAUCUUGUAAAUAUUUGUUUGUUUAUAUUUAUUGAGUGUAUAUAGAAUUGAACAUCGAACAAAUUAGAAAUUUUGUUUAAAUGAGAGGAAGAAUUCAGUAAAUAUGUUCUAAUAAAAUACUAAUUUCAAAA